AUUGAACGCUGGCGGCAUGCCUAACACAUGCAAGUCGAACGGGGCAGCAAUGCCUAGUGGCGGACGGGUGAGGAAUACGUAGGAAUCUGCCCUUAAGUGGGGGAUAACCAGGGGAAACCCUGACUAAUACCGCAUGAUCUCUUCGGAGCAAAGAGGGGGACCGCAAGGCCUCUCGCUUCUGGAUGAGCCUACGUCUGAUUAGCUAGUUGGUAGGGUAAAGGCCUACCAAGGCGACGAUCAGUAACUGGUCUGAGAGGAUGAUCAGUCACACCGGAACUGAGACACGGUCCGGACUCCUACGGGAGGCAGCAGUGGGGAAUAUUGGACAAUGGGCGCAAGCCUGAUCCAGCAAUGCCGCGUGUGUGAAGAAGGCCUUCGGGUUGUAAAGCACUUUAGCCUGGAAAGAAAAAACUUUGGUUAACACCCAAAGUCUUGACGGUACCAGGAGAAUAAGCACCGGCUAACUUCGUGCCAGCCGCCGCAGUAAGAC
rnacentral:rRNA from 1 species